rnacentral:tRNA from 1 species
GAGAGAGGCUUGCCGCAAUGAAGACUGCUAAUCUUCACCCCUUUGGUUAAACCCCAGAGCUCACUCG